rnacentral:rRNA from 1 species
GGGGUUUACAACUCCCAAACCCCUGUGAACAUACCACUUGUUGCCUCGGCGGAUCAGCCCGCUCCCGGUAAAACGGGACGGCCCGCCAGAGGACCCCUAAACUCUGUUUCUAUAUGUAACUUCUGAGUAAAACCAUAAAUAAAUCAAAACUUUCAACAACGGAUCUCUUGGUUCUGGCAUCGAUGAAGAACGCAGCAAAAUGCGAUAAGUAAUGUGAAUUGCAGAAUUCAGUGAAUCAUCGAAUCUUUGAACGCACAUUGCGCCCGCCAGUAUUCUGGCGGGCAUGCCUGUUCGAGCGUCAUUUCAACCCUCAAGCACAGCUUGGUGUUGGGACUCGCGUUAAUUCGCGUUCCCCAAAUUGAUUGGCGGUCACGUCGAGCUUCCAUAGCGUAGUAGUAAAACCCUCGUUACUGGUAAUCGUCGCGGCCACGCCGUUAAACCCCAACUUCUGAAUGUUGACCUCGGAUCAGGUAGAAAGCCCCG